UGCAACUCGCCUACACGAAGCUGGAAUCGCUAGUAAUCGCGGAUCAGCACGCCGCGGUGAAUACGUUCCCGGGCCUUGUACACACCGCCGUCACACCAUGAGAGUCGGGAACACCCGAAGUCCGUAGCCUAACCGCAAGGGGGCGCGGCGAAGGUGGUUCGAUAAUUGGGUGAAGUCGUAACAAGGUAAC
rnacentral:rRNA from 1 species